UACGUAGGGUGCAAGCGUUGUCCGGAAUUAUUGGGCGUAAAGGGCUCGUAGGCGGUCCAUCGCGUCGGGAGUGAAAAGCUGGGGCUUAACCCCAGUCCUGCUUUCGAUACGGGUGGACUAGAGGUAGGCAGGGGAGAACGGAAUUCCUGGUGUAGCGGUGAAAUGCGCAGAUAUCAGGAGGAACACCGGUGGCGAAGGCAGUGUCCUGGGGAGUACCUGACGCUCAGGUGCGAAAGCCAGGGGAGCGAACGGG
rnacentral:rRNA from 1 species